CAUUAUUCUUGGUAGUUUGUGAGCUGGGAUUGUUUUCCCCUUUAAUCCUUUCAGCACUGCAAAGAUAUUUUUUCACUAUUUUUCAACCUCCGUGAUACUUGAUAAGAGAUUCCAAAGGGAGGAGUACUUCUACCAGGAGACAAAACAAUGACUCCACUGAACUAGAAGAAAGGACUGCUGCCCAGCCACUUUGGACUCCUCAUCUUCUGAAUCAACAGGCAAAGAAGAGAGUUGCUGUGCUGAUGGGGUGAUUCAUCCUGACUACCAAGGGGAAAUUGGACUUCUACUCCACAAUAGAUGUAAGGAAUAGUAUGCUGGAGUACCGGAGAUCCCUUAGGCUGUCUCAGUAUUACCAUGCCCCGUG